rnacentral:lncRNA from 1 species
GAUCUUUUAAGAGAAGGCCGUGGGUGAGGAGGUGAUGCUGGGAUUAAGGCGUAUGCGGUUUGAGCUAAGGUGGGAGGAGUGUGAGGAGCAAGAGAACCAGAGGGUGGAAGAGAGGGUUCAGGUUGGGGUGGUGGAUUGGCGUGCGAAGCACUCAGUUUUUCAGAUGAUGGAGGGUUUUUCUUGACAAAAAUCAUAGAGGAGGGCUUUUUAGUAGUUUGUUUUGGUGGAGGAGUUUUUGGUUUGGUCGAUGGAGGAAUGGGGUUUUUCGGGGGGGGG